GACGAACGCUGGCGGCGUGCUUAACACAUGCAAGUCGAACGGUAAGGCCCUUCGGGGUACACGAGUGGCGAACGGGUGAGUAACACGUGGGUGAUCUGCCCUGCACUUCGGGAUAAGCCUGGGAAACUGGGUCUAAUACCGGAUAGGACCACUGCCUGCAUGGGUGGUGGUGGAAAGCUUUUGCGGUGUGGGAUGGGCCCGCGGCCUAUCAGCUUGUUGGUGGGGUGAUGGCCUACCAAGGCGACGACGGGUAGCCGGCCUGAGAGGGUGGCCGGCCACACUGGGACUGAGAUACGGCCCAGACUCCUACGGGAGGCAGCAGUGGGGAAUAUUGCACAAUGGGCGCAAGCCUGAUGCAGCGACGCCGCGUGAGGGAUGACGGCCUUCGGGUUGUAAACCUCUUUCAGCACCGACGAAGCGCAAGUGAUGGUAGGUGCAGAAGAAGGACCGGCCAACUACGUGCCAGCAGCCGCGGUAA
rnacentral:rRNA from 1 species